GAUGAAGAACGUAGCGAAAUGCGAUAAGUAAUGCGAAUUGCAGAAUUCAGUGAAUCAUCGAAUCUUUGAACGCACAUUGCGCCCCUUGGUAUUCCGAGGGGCAUGCCUGUUCGAGCGUCAUUAUAACCCUCAAGCUCAGCUUGGUGUUGGGGCCUGCUGCACUGGCAGCCCUUAAAAUCAGUGGCGGCGCCAUCUGGCUCUAAGCGUAGUAAUUCUUCUCGCUAUGGAGUCCUGGUGGAUGCUUGCCAUCAACCCCCAAUUUUUCUAUGGUUGACCUCGGAUCAGGUAGGGAUACCCGCUGAACUUAAGCAUAUCAAUAAGCGGAGGA
rnacentral:misc_RNA from 1 species